rnacentral:rRNA from 1 species
GGGCCCGCACAAGCGGUGGAGUAUGUGGUUUAAUUCGAUGCAACGCGAAGAACCUUACCAGGGUUUGACAUCCUGCGAAUUUCUGGGAAACCGGAAAGUGCCUUCGGGAACGCAGUGACAGGUGGUGCAUGGCUGUCGUCAGCUCGUGUCGUGAGAUGUUGGGUUAAGUCCCGCAACGAGCGCAACCCACGUCUUUAGUUGCCAGCAUUAAGUUGGGCACUCUAGAGAGACCGCCGGUGAUAAACCGGAGGAAGGUGUGGAUGACGUCAAGUCAUCAUGCCCCUUACAUCCUGGGCUACACACGUACUACAAUGCUACGGACAAAGAGCAGCAAGUUCGCGAGGACAAGCAAAUCUCAUAAACCGUGGCUCAGUUCAGAUCGUAGGCUGCAACUCGCCUACGUGAAGGAGGAAUCGCUAGUAAUCG